GCCGUAUUUGAAAUACUCGUAAUAAUAUUUAGACAUGGUUCGGUCCAUGUUUUUUUUUCUUUAAAAACGGAUCUAACUCUAUAAUUCAUUUUCUUCAUUUUUCCUGAAUCAUAGACAACAGACAUUCUAUAAAUCAAUCAGACUUCAUUUUAUUUGUCAGCUACAAAAAACUUUCUAAAUACAAUUUACGUAUAGAGCCUUCAAAUUUAGUUACUUAAAGGGUAAUUGUCGAGUUUUUUUCUGGUUUUCUGGAUGAAACAUUUUUCCAAACCUCUGGGCAUAUUGGAAAAAACAAUUUUUCGUAUUUCAUUGCCGUAACACAAUUAUUAUCUUCACGACCUCACGUAUACCAGAUCGUCCCGCAGUCCCAUAAAUUGUGAUUAAAAUCCAGUUUAUUGGAGUUGAUACAUGUCAGAAAUGAUUAUGAACUCCUUGUACUUUAACUACUUGGAAGUCAAUAGUCAUGAGUCGCGCUUGACACUGGAGUCGCCGUUUCCUGCCACACACCCAGUAGACCCGAUGACCUCCGUACGUCCUUUCCUUGAUGAAGUUCAUCCCUUUGUAGACUAUCAUCGGAUUACCCUGACGUGAUCGCACUAUCACUGCACCUAUGACAUAAUUGUUUUAUCUUAAAUUAUAUUUUACCUGUAAACUGUGCAAAUAGAAGAUCAGAUAUUUUCAUAAUUUGUCCGGCUAAUUAGAUUAAGCGCUGCUUCUUAUUUUAUUGUAUUUUUUUUCUAUCUAGCUACAUUAAAUAAGUGCAUAUUGAAUCAAUUACUCUUACAAUUACAUCGCAAAUCUCUCAUCAACUCACUUUCAAAUCAAUAGUUUAUUAAUAAGUUUGCUUCUUAGAACCAUAGCAGUUUUAAACCAGUAACGCCAUCUGCCAUGCGGAGUAAACAACUAAACGACUU